rnacentral:rRNA from 1 species
ACCUACGGGGGGCAGCAGUGGGGAAUAUUGCACAAUGGGGGAAACCCUGAUGCAGCGACGCCGCGUGAGUGAAGAAGUAUUUCGGUAUGUAAAGCUCUAUCAGCAGGGAAGAAAUACUGACCUUACGGUCAGCAGACGGUACCUGACUAAGAAGCCCCGGCUAACUACGUGCCAGCAGCCGCGGUAAUACGUAGGGGGCAAGCGUUAUCCGGAUUUACUGGGUGUAAAGGGCGCGUAGGCGGGAUGGCAAGUCAGAUGUUAAAUCCAGGGGCUCAACCCCUGAACUGCAUUUGAAACUGUCGUUC